rnacentral:rRNA from 1 species
UCACGAGAGUUUGAUCCUGGCUCAGGAUGAACGCUGGCGGCGUGUCUAAGGCAUGCAAGUCGUGCGGGCGUGCCUCACUUUGUUCGGCACCGUCCGAAGUUAAAACGCAAAAGGCAAAACGCAAAAGUAAAGUUGCUCAUACUGUGAGCUUCCAAACUUUUGACUUUUAAGUUUUGAUUUUUAAUUUCGUGAUGUGGCGAGCAGCGCGAGGCACGUCAGCGGCAAACGGGAGAGUAACACAUUGGUAACCUACCCUUCAUUGGGGCACAACCCGCCGAAAGGCGGGCUAAUUCCCCGUAUAAUCCCAACUCAUAAGUUUUGGGAUGAGAGGCGCAAGCCGAUGAGGGAGGGGCCUAUGUCCUAUCAGCUUGUUGGUGAGGUAAAAGCUCACCAAGGCUACGACGGGUAGGGGGCGUGAGAGCGCGACCCUUCUCACUGGGACUGAGACACUGCCCAGACUCCUACGGGAGGCUGCAGUCGAGAAUAUUCCUCAAUGGCCGAAAGGCUGAAGGAGCGACGCCGCGUGCCGGAAGAAGGCCUUCGGGUUGUAAACGGCUUUUCUCAGGGACGAACACUGACGGUACCUGAGGAAUAAGAGGUUGCUAACUCUGUGCCAGCAGCAGCGGUAAUACAGAGACCUCAAGCGUUAUCCGGAUUUAUUGGGCGUAAAGCGUCCGCAGGUGGCUUAGUGCGUCCCGCGUUAAAUUGUUCGGCUCAACCGAACAUCUGCGUGGGAUACGGCUAAGCUUGAGACUGGGAGAGGUAAGCGGAAUUGUCGGUGUAGUAGUAAAAUGCGUUAAUAUCGACAAGAACACCAAUGGCGAAAGCAGCUUACUGGAACAGUUCUGACACUCAUGGACGAAAGCGUGGGGAGCGAAAGGGAUUAGAUACCCCUGUAGUCCACGCCGUAAACGAUGAAUGCUAGGCAUUGGCAGUAUCGACCCUGUCAGUGUCGUUGACCUAAGGUAACCCCUUAAGCAUUCCGCCUGGGGAGUACGGCCGCAAGGCUAAAACUCAAAGGAAUUGACGGGAACCCGCACAAGCGGUGGAGCAUGUGGUUUAAUUCGACAAUAAGCGAGGAACCUUACCAAGGUUUGACAUCUCUGGAACUCUCCCGAAAGGGAGAGGUGCCCGCAAGGGAGCCAGAAGACAGGUGUUGCAUGGCUGUCGUCAGCUCGUGUCGUGAGACGUAGGGUUAAGUCCUUCAACGAGCGCAACCCUCAUCCUGUGUUACAUUGUUCACAGGAGACUGCCCGGGUAACCGGGAGGAAGGUGGGGAUGACGUCAAGUCAGCAUGACUCUUACACCUUGGGCGACACACGUGCUACAAUGGGGCGAACAACGGGACGCCAAAUCGCAAGAUGGAGCAAAUCCCUUAAAUCGCCUCUCAGUUCGGAUUGAGGUCUGCAACUCGACCUCAUGAAGCUGGAAUCGCUAGUAACCGCGGAUCAGCCACGCUGCGGUGAAUACGUUCUCGGGUUUUGUACACACCGCCCGUCACGUCAAGAGAGUUGGUCGCACCCGAAUACCCAGUCCGGGUAGAAGGUGAGGCUGAUGAUAGGGACGAAGUCGUAACAAGGCAUCCGUAGCGGAAGCUGUGGAUGGAUCACCUCCUUUCUAAGGAG